UACGGAAGGCAGCAGUGGGGAAUAUUGCACAAUGGGCGCAAGCCUGAUGCAGCCAUGCCGCGUGUAUGAAGAAGGCCUUCGGGUUGUAAAGUACUUUCAGUCGUGAGGAAGGUGUUAAGGUUAAUAACCUUAGCAAUUGACGUUAGCGACAGAAGAAGCACCGGCUAACUCCGUGCCAGCAGCCGCGGUAAUACGGAGGGUGCGAGCGUUAAUCGGAAUUACUGGGCUAAAGGGCACGCAGGCGGUUAAUUAAGUUGGAUGUGAAAUCCCCGGGCUUAACCUGGGAAUGGCAUUCAAGACUGGUUAGCUAGAGUCUUGUAGAGGGGGUUAGAAUUCCAUGUGUAGCGGUGAAAUGCGUAGAGAUGUGGAGGAAUACCGGUGGCGAAGGCGGCCCCUGGGACAAAGACUGACGCUCAUGUGCGAAAGCGUGGGGAGCAAACGAGGAUUAGAUACC
rnacentral:rRNA from 1 species